AUUGAGCGCUGGCGGCAGGCCUAACACAUGCAAGUCGAGCGGAUGAAGAGAGCUUGCUCUCUGAUUCAGCGGCGGACGGGUGAGUAAUGCCUAGGACUCUGCCUGGUAGUGGGGGACAACGUUUCGAAAGGAACGCUAAUACCGCAUACGUCCUACGGGAGAAAGCAGGGGACCUUCGGGCCUUGCGCUAUCAGAUGAGCCUAGGUCGGAUUAGCUAGUAGGGGGGGUAAAGGCUCACCUAGGCGACGAUCCGUAACUGGUCUGAGAGGAUGAUCAGUCACACUGGAACUGAGACACGGUCCAGACUCCUACGGGAGGCAGCAGUGGGGAAUAUUGGACAAUGGGCGAAAGCCUGAUCCAGCCAUGCCGCGUGUGUGAAGAAGGUCUUCGGAUUGUAAAGCACUUUAAGUUGGGAGGAAGGGCAGUAAGCUAAUACCUUGCUGUUUUGACGUUACCAACAGAAUAAGCACCGGCUAACUUCGUGCCAGCCGCCGCAGUAAUAC
rnacentral:rRNA from 1 species